GUAUAUUUAAAUACCACACAGUGAGUGAAAAUCAGAUUCCUUCUCAGAAUCUGAUUCUCUACAACUCUAGAGAAAGGCUGAAUUCUCACUCUUCAAAACCAAAAGCAGAUGAAAAUGAUGUUCAAGCUACCAUUCAUCAUCAGUCUGCUCCUCAUUUCUGUUAAUGUUUUGGGAACAAUUUCAACAACAAUGACCUCAGAGUCUCCAGCAGUCUCCAGUACCGGGAUCAACCCAAAUUCCAGGAUAAGCCUAAAUCCUGGGACCAAGGCAAGUUCUACCUUCAAAUCUCAAAGGCUAAAUCUUACAACAUCAGUGAGUGCCAGGACAACUCUGACUUUCGUGAUGACUCCAAGUCCCAAAACAACUCUGAAAUCAACAGUGACCUCAGAAACAGCCAAAUCUACGAUUACGAAGACUGUGACAAAUGGUAGCACAAUACUCAAUCCAAAGCUUAGCAUUCACUUUCUUUUCUAUGUCAUAUUUUUGUUGCUUUGUAUGUGUUCAGGCUGAAACAAACUUGAACUGUCUGCAUUUUUAUCUCAGCUCUAUUAUCUGCUGAAUAACAAGCACACUAGAGGAGUAAAUAAUUUACUACUUGAAUUAUCAAUAUUCUAGUAUAACUUAGUUGCUUGCAAAUUUUAAGUGUGUAAGUUUAAAUACUACCUUAAAAUGGUAGUAUAUCUUCCCUUAAAAAAGAAAGUGUGUACUACCCUAUUAAAUGUCAAACUAAGCAAAAUACCACAUUUGCCUUUUAAGGGUUUACAAACCUGAAACUCAGAAGUUUAUAUUAAAAGUAUAAGAGAAAAAAUUACAUAGGUAUCAUUUAACCAAAGGGGUGAGGUAAAGGAGGGGAAUAAAGAAAGGUGUGGAAAAAAAAAAAAAAAAAAGAAAGGUGUAGGGGAAGUUGAUGUUUUCGUUAUAGCAAAGAAAGUGCUAGUAUGGUAAAGAGAAACAGUAGAUCUUUGCAAAACAACACACUCAUCUGCAUUGCCGUAUUUCAUGAAUGUGCAUGUACAUGACAUUCCAGUAAAAAAGGAGCCAAUGCUGUUAAACUUUGUAAUUCAUAUUGUUACUCCCAAUGAUAAGAUUAUUUUAUUUUGAGUAAACCCUGUCUUAUAUUUCAUUUGUAAA